rnacentral:rRNA from 1 species
CCUACGGGGGACAGCAGUGGGGAAUAUUGCACAAUGGGGGAAACCCUGAUGCAGCGCCGCCGCGUGAGUGAAGAAGUAAUUCGUUAUGUAAAGCUCUAUCAGCCGGGACGAAAAUGACGGUACCUGAGUAAGAAGCCCCGGCUAACUACGUGCCAGCAGCCGCGGUAAUAAGUAGGGGGCAAGCGUUAUCCGGAUUUACUGGGUGUAAAGGGAGCGUAGACGGCAGUGCAAGUCUGGAGUGAAAGGCGGGGGCUCAACCCCAGGACUGCUCUGGAAACUGUACGGCUGGAGUGCAGGAGAGGUAAGUGGAAUUACUAGUGUAGCGGUGAAAUGCUUAGAUAUCAUGAAGAACUCCGAUCGCGAAGGCAAGUGUCCGGGGUGCAACUGACGCUGAGGCUCGAAAGUGCGGGUAUCAAACAGGAUUAGAUACCCGGGUAGUC